UUCCAUCGUAUCCCUGCCACAGCUGACGGACAAAGAGAACAAGCUUUUUUGACUAAUUAACAAACCACUAAUUGUUUUUCACAGUUUCCUAUGUCUUCCCCAGCCUCACAGUUUCUGCCCCCAUUCUCUGUGUGUGCGUGCUGACCGACGUCACACAUCCCUGUCCUGUUCCUGUGAGGCACUGCUGCUGCCCUGCAGGGACAAAGCCUGUUGAUUCUUUCAUUCUGGCCCAUACUGGUGACUGUACGUGUUAAACAAUGCUGUGAGCAGAAGUAAUUAAGUCUGGUUUCCAAAAUGUCUCUAUUGCAUGGAUUCUUUGAUGUCAGUGAAAAAAAAUUGAACUUAUUAACUUUCUGCUUAGCAGGAAAGCAGAAAAAAAAUUCUCUCCUGGCUUUCUUUCCCUGAACUUGCAAAAAGUUAUGUGUUUUGAGAAGCCAGCUCCUCUCCCAAGGGUUACUGAGGGGCCCAGGGGAUAUUGGUAGCUCUCUAGAGAGAACAAAGCAGCAGCCACACAUGAGCUUACAGCACAAGGCUGUAAAAACGUUCAGGUGGCUGUGUUCCUUUGUGUGCUUCUUAGGAGAGAAGGAAGAUAAGCCCCACGAUCCCUGUCCCCCAGCUCUGGUCCUGAGGGGUGGUGGGAGAGGUGGCCUCAACUCUCUGAAGAGGAAGGAGGCUUUGGGCAAGCAGCCUCAGCACUGCUUUGUCUUUGAUAAAGCUCUAUGCCCGGUUCAACUGCAGCCAGCGAGCACGAGGAGUGUUGAUGCUCGUAGGCAUCACAAAGCAGAGAAACAGCUGACCGAAACCAUCCUUGGGAAGUACCUCAGACUUUAUGGGGCAAUUUACCUUAUCCCAAGAGGAAAAAAACAAGUCCAACAGGUUUAACUGGAAGAUGGUUUAUAUGUAUGGGGAAACAAAAAGCUGAUCAAGUUCCAUGCUAUUUAUCUCUUUCCCUCUACUGCUUUCCUUCCUGUGUAUUUUAGGAUCUCAUUCUGCUGUGAAAAAGAUGCAGUUACAACAGGCUGAGUCUAUGGAACGUUCCAAAAUAUGGAACAGCCUAUUGCCAACAAACCUGAAUUGCAAACACUUCUUAAUUAAGGUUACACAUUACUAAUAUUUGGGGAUACUUUCUUUACCAGCGAGACAGUGCUGUCUUCCAAACGCUGUUGAUUUCUUCUUUGCUUCUUUAGUUCUGUGUGACUGACUGAAGAUCUAAAUGAAUGCCCCCCAGCAAAAUCUAACAAAACCAUGACAGAAGUCGAUCCAGCUGAAAGCAGUCCCCCAACACAUGAGCAGCAGAGGGAAGCUGAGCUGCUGCUGCAGCACACAGGGAGGAGAUGACAGUCCCACUACUGGGUCCAUUUUCCCUUGUUACAGUGUAAGCUCUUCAUGCUUCUUACUGGCAGCUGCUAUAAAUACGCAGGCAGUCACUUGACCUUGGCAGCUGUUUGGCUAACUAAAAUAAUUCCCUUUGAAACUGGCAGAGGCACAAUGGGAG
rnacentral:lncRNA from 1 species